GGGGCUGGAUGUUUUGAACGCCAGCUAGGACUCGAGGCUUGAGCAUGGAGGGCACGCCCUAGCCCCAUAUUUGCAAUGCUACUGAUACCUUCCCUCGAUCCGAGUGCUCUGCAUGCCGAAAUCCAAAUCUCAUGCUUCUAAUUAAUUAAUUAACUAAUUAAUUAAAUAUCUAACUAAUUAAUUAAAUUAAUAUUUAAUUAAUUAGUUUUUAAAAAUUAAUUAUACUU
rnacentral:lncRNA from 1 species